rnacentral:rRNA from 1 species
AACGAACGCUGGCGGCAUGCCUAAUACAUGCAAGUCGAACGAGAUCUUCGGAUCUAGUGGCGCACGGGUGCGUAACGCGUGGGAAUCUGCCCUUCGGUUCGGAAUAACAGUUAGAAAUGACUGCUAAUACCGGAUGAUGACGUAAGUCCAAAGAUUUAUCGCCGAAGGAUGAGCCCGCGUAAGAUUAGCUUGUUGGUGAGGUAAAAGCUCACCAAGGCGACGAUCUUUAGCUGGUCUGAGAGGAUGAUCAGCCACACUGGGACUGAGACACGGCCCAGACUCCUACGGGAGGCAGCAGUAGGGAAUAUUGGACAAUGGGCGAAAGCCUGAUCCAGCAAUGCCGCGUGAGUGAUGAAGGCCUUAGGGUUGUAAAGCUCUUUUACCCGAGAUGAUAAUGACAGUAUCGGGAGAAUAAGCUCCGGCUAACUCCGUGCCAGCCGCCGCCGUAA